rnacentral:misc_RNA from 1 species
GAUGAGGAACGCAGCGAAAUGCGAUAAGUAAUGCGAAUUGCAGAUUUCAGUGAGUCAUCGAAUCUUUGAACGCACAUUGCGCCCGCCAGUAUUCUGGCGGGCAUGCCUGUUCGAGCGUCAUUUCAACCAUCAAGCCCCCGGGCUUGCGUUGGGGCCCUGCGGCUGCCGCAGGCCCCGAAUAGCAGUGGCGGGCUCGCUGUCACACCGAGCGCAGUAGCGAUUCUCGCUCCGGGCGUCGGCGGCGGGCACCGGCCGUGAAACCCCUCCACAUCCACAAGGUUGACCUCGGAUCAGGUAGGAAUACCCGCUGAACUUAAGCAUAUCAAUAAGCGGAGGA